UCUCCUGCAUUUGAGUUCUGCUACUCCCUCCCCACAUGGGCACUUCUGUCACUUGACCCGUUAGGGUCAACUUUAUGUUGUUUAUAAAACUAAUUCACUGUCAGCUCAGUCCCUCUGCCACUGUAUUUAUUUCUCUGGUCAUUCAGAGGUUUGGAGCAAAGAGCAGAGCAGGAGAGUUUAUGGCUGAACAGACGAGCCAGGGAGACUGAGAUGCCCAAAACAUAAUUAACCAAGUUUUGUGGAGGGAUGAGCAAGGUGCAGAGAGACUGGGUCAUACUGAAGGUGCCACAUGGGCAUUGGGGCAAAGGUAGGAAGAAAAGGAGUGGAGUCUCCUACUCUGGAGGCAUUCAAGACCCACCUGGACACCUUCCUCUGUAACCUCAUCUGGGUGUUCCUGCUCCAUGGGAGGAUUGCACUGGAUGAGCUUUCCAGGUCCCUUCCAACCCCUGACACUCUGGGAUUCUGUCAUCUCUUCAUUUCCUAAGUCACAACAACCUUUUCUCAGUGCUUGUCUGGUGCAGGAAUCCCUGUCCUGUGUCAUGGGUGGUGUGGUCAUCACCGGGAGCUGGACAAAACCUCCUGGUCAGAAAAAACAAAAGCCAAACCAACCAAAACUGUGUUGCAUGAUAAACACAGGAAGGGCUUGAGUUUACAACCCCCCUGUUAUCCUCUGGGCUGUUCCAGGGGCUUCUGAUGUGUUUGUCUGUGGGGAGCUGGGGUCACCAUCCUUGGCUCCUGUCCAGGGUGGGCUAAAGCUGAACAGGAGCUAUAGAGGAACCACAGGGGUACAUUAGAUGGGAAAAGCUUAUCUCUGUAUACUGCCCUGUGCUCUCCCAGACCUGUUGGAUGAUCCCUGAAGGGAGCAAAUGAAUAAACUGGAUCCAAAAUGCCAGAAAACUGCACUCUGGCUGAGCCAAGUGAUGAACUAUUUCCUUAGCAGUGGGGAUGUUACUGUGCUAUGGGGGAUAAAUAGUUACACCUUAAAUAAUAUGCAUAGAUUUCCAGGCAUUGAUCCAGCACAUCCUGCAGGUCUCAGACCUGGGAAAUAUGCUUGAAUGGUUAAAAGGCAUAAAUUACUUUAAAUUAAUCAUUGAUUUAAUCCAUCUCUCCAAAAGCUGGGAUCACCGUGUUAUUGUAUCAGAAAUAAGCUGCGGUUGCACAGGGAACUGCUUGAGAAACACACAUUCUCAGUACUUUGGCUUCUUGCUCUUUCUGCGAAGCAUAUACCAUUUCCCACGGAGAUGAGUGGGUGUUGUACAAGCCCCAGCAGUGAGCAGAAAAUCUCACAGGGAAGUACAAGUGCACUUUCAAUCCAGCAUCAAAUUGCACCCAUUCAAACACACAGAGGAGCCAACAGAAGAUUUCUUUUGGGUGAAACAAGGAUUGGGGGAGUGUUUGUCUCCACUUUUUAUAAAAUGGGGUUAAAUGUGACAAACACCCAGCUGAGCCUGUGAUCCCUCUGUGCCUGGGGACACCGGGAGCCGUGCACAGCAUGGAUAAGGGAUCAGCUUCCUUGUGGGUGAGCUGGUGCUAAAAGCCUGGAGACAGAGAUGAUGUGGUGUCCUCGGUAAGGUGGAGCUUGUAAGGAGGGUGGAGGCCCUGGAGAAGAUGCUGGAGACCAAGUGAUGAGCUGUUUCCCUGCCACAGCAGAGCCGGCUUCUCUUGUAGGCAGCCUGACAGUGGCAGAGGGGGAAGGCUGGGGGCACUUAGAAGCCCCCCCAGUAAUUUCAUUGCAGGAAGGUGACAGCGACAUGAUGGCUGGAAAACUUGCCAAGGGAGCAGCAAGGAGUGAUAAGGGACAUGCUUAAUUAUUUAGAGACCAUCAGACAUGGCAAGUCAUUGACUUACUGCACUUAAAGACUUAGCGGUUGCGCACGGGCUCCUUUCAGCAUCGGCUGUGAAUGCUCCUGGCCCAUCUUGAGUGCAAAGGAAAACACAUUAGUUGAAAGCUCUCCCCGAGGUGCUUAAUGAGGUGCCCCUCGUUAGCUGAAUCUGCAGAGCCGGCUCAGUGUAUGCUCCCAGCCUGUGUGCUAAAAUCAGUGUGUGGUGCUGCUGCCAGAGUUCAGUUUGUAAUUGGAAGGGGCUGGGGAUGCAUGUUGUCUCACCAGCUCAGCUGCAGAGGUUGGACAGUGGGCUCGUCACUUGUGAACACCCUUCUCUGAUCCUGAGAAGAGCUGAGAAAGCCAAACCUGCAGGGAGAACGGUGAUGGUCAUUAAGAAGUGGGUUUCUUUGGUGGAGUUAAGCUCUGUGCUGGCUGGGCAGGGAUGGAUGGCCAGGGAGUGCAAUUAGCAGCAGGUCAGAAUUGCAAAUGGACGCUCAGCAGAAGCUCUGAUCCUGAUUCCUUUUCUCUGUGGAAGUGAGGAAAGUCCAGUCCUUGUCUGACCAGAAAGCAGGGGAAAUGCCUCCAUACCCUCUGGUCACUGCCUGUCAUCUUUUAGAGAAAUUAAUGAUCAAUUAAACAGCAUAUGGGAGAAAAAGGUGGGAUUUUGUGUUCAGAUGAGACCAUUUUACUCUUUUUAAAUAGCCACAGAAAAAACUUAUCCAAGGUCUUUCCAGUCAUUUGGUUUAUUUAUUUUUACUUUCUCUUCCUUAAUCGUGUUUGCAGCAUUUCAGGCUUUUCAGAAAACAGCUGAUGAGUUCAUCCUACAUCCAAACACACUGCGGUGUUUCUGGGGCAGUCUCUCACUUGCUGGGCAUGAAAAAAUGGUUGCAAAUCAGUCUGGGCUUCAUUUGGUCCUACAGAUCUUUCUUCAGCAGUUUGCUGUUGCACUAACCCCAGUCAAACCAGCACUGGCCAGGCUUUCCCAGUCUGUUUCUUAUCUGAACUGCUGCUUUGUUUAUUGCACAGUUUGAUCUUCUGGACAUUGGAUACCCAGAACACUUUUUUUUUUGUUGUUUGCUUUAAGUAGUGGUGAAUAAUUCUAGGCAGCAAUUCUAUUACCUAAGGAAUAGGCAAGCAAUGACUCCUCAGGCAGGUUAAGUGUCAUUUACUCUGUUUUUACAGAUGAUUUAGUGAGAAAAGCUGUGAAGCCCUUAUUUUUCACAAACCUUAGAGAGACUGAGUGCUGAUUGCUCCAGUCCCCUAGGCAGCGGGUGGGAUGCUCACAGAAUUUUUGCAGUUGUUCUUUGUCUCUGCACAGAUCCUGCAAAGUCCCCGUUGCCUCCCAGGCUGGGGGAGGCAGGUCUUGACCAUGGUCUUGGAAUGUGCCUCACCUUGACGUAGUCUCCAUGCCUCAGUUUCCUGCUCUGCUGAAUGUGUGUAUUGCCAUUCCCCUGCCCUCUUUGAGACAGAAAUCCCUUACAUCCAUGUGCCUAUAUGCAGCACCUGGUACCUUUGGUCCCUGAUCUCUCUGGAAGGGGUGAAAUGUGAGUCUUACAAAAAGCAUAUUGAAAGGUGAUGAGGGAAGGGGUGUCCAGCUUUGACCACAUCUGUGACGUGGUACUGGAAAAACACUCCUGUAAACCAACAUCUGCUUCUAAUGACACUUCAGUUCCUCAAAUCUACAAGUUUUGCUAAAGAGCAUGUGAGAUUUAAUCAUGAUUUCACAUGAUCCUGGUGGUGAUGGUAGAUGAGAGCCCUGUGCUUAAAUCUUACCUGGUCUUAGCCAGUCUGCUGGGUGGAGGAGUUAGCAGGGUCUUACUGAUGGUCGAGGCAGCUUUUCCCUCUACAUGCACUGUCUGCAUGUAGGAUGGGGAAAGCGAAAUAGUCCAAUUUCAGUGACUCCUAAAGUUAAAUAGCACUAAAACCUGCCUGCAGAAAGGUGCUUCUGUAGCUCCUGUCCUGCCCCAGCUGUAGGAGAUGAGUAAUACUUUCUCUUAUCAGCCAGCCAAGUUACAGGUUGGUGAUGCUCAUCUAGAUGCUGCUGCUCUGAACUCAACCCCACCAACACCUGCUGGCAUGUCUCUGUAAUGGUCUGUGCUGCAGAAGGGAGGUACAUUUCCUAAUUCACUGGGUUAUGGAUCGUAUCAGUCUCUGAAGAGCAUGGUGAAGUAGGAGCCUCUGUUGUGUGCCAGUUGCCUAAAAGAAAAGAUUUGGUUGUCUUCAAGGGCAGACACUGGUGACUGCUCUUGGCAGGAGGUAAAACUUGUUUGACGUGAGGUUCUUCUUCUCUCUCUUCAACUAUUUUAAAUAAAACCCUGUAAAAGCUAUGUGACCACACUACCGCUUUCUGCUGAGGAUCUUAUUCCAAAACCUGCUGAAUUAAUAAUGCAUGAGCUGCCAUAGUUUUUAUAGCACAUAAUUAUAAUGGGAUUUUUUUUUCUCUUCUGGAUGCUGAUAUUGGAGGCAAAAAGAAGUCUGUCACGUGGAACUAAUCUCAAACUUGCGAGAAACAGCUGCCCUAUAUGGACCGAUUGAGCCAUGAGGAGCCCCAGAGUUUUUGCAAGCCACAAAAACUUGCAAAAGAUAUCAUCUGUGUCCAAGAUCUACUGUCCUUUGGUGUGAUCUGGCUGGCAGAGAGGAUCACGAUGUGACAGAGGAGAAUGAUUUGGGCGUUUGCCCCCUGGGUGAACAAAGCCACAUAACUUCAGGGCUGCUCUUCCCGUGAAGCUGCUUUCUAAUUAGUUUGCCAGUGGGAACCUUUCAGGAUUAAACACAGAAGACAUAAUCCUCCCUGCAAGGUAAUUAAAAAUAUUUGUCCCUUGCUGAUAACUGACCUGCUAAUUUCCUUCUGUUUGAGAAAGCAUCAUAAAAAAUUACUGUACUGUUUGUGUAACAGGACAACCACUUGCGCGGAUGUUUCUCAUCUGCUUACUUCAACUCAGUAUUUUCGCAGGGUGUCACAGGAAGUAGAAACUUGUUUGAACAUCUUAAAGUCUAUUUUUGUUUGUUUGUUUGUUUGUUUGUUUUUAAAAAUUAUCUUUAAAUUAUUUAAAACAAAACAAACCCACAAACCAACCAAGCCACAAAGGUGCUAGAGAAGAGGAUCAUCUGAUGAGAGGGUAGAGGCAAAGCUUCAGAGAUGCUGCAAGUCACACUGGUAAACCAUUGACUGCGAAGCUGAGAUCCAUGUUCUGUCCAGGACCCAAAUCCCCACACAGUGUGACAUGGAGACAACACUUCAUACCUUUCCCAGUCAAUCUCCCACCAGCAUCCUGUUCUGAUUUCAGCUUCCUCAAGACUGUGUGCAGGAGUCUUGACAUGAGUGGAUCAUGCAGGAGAGGUUGAGUCUGCGUCAGGUCACAGCUCUUUGAACCCGGUGGGUUCAGCUGGGCUGAGUGCUCUGCAGUAACAUGGUAAGAAGCUGCCAGCACACUGAGGAGAUGCAACACAAUGAGGAAAUAGCGAUAUUCUGCCUGUAGCCUUCAGCUAAAUGGUUAAUUGGGGGUUAAUUGACCCCUGCUCUGAAGGGCUUUGGUGUAUGACAUGUGCAGGCAUGGGGAUGGGGGCAUUGGCUAACGAAUCUGGGAACAGCUGCCCCAGAUGCUUUAGGUCAUGAAGACAGUGCUGUGCAGGAUGAGAAAGCUCCUGGGAAGAGCAGAGUAAAAGUAGGAACUGUCCCUGCUGAGGUGCAGUGAGUAUGUUGAAUAUUGUCUUGACGGAGAUGAGGCAUGUGGUGUGGCUGCCAAGUCUCUGAUCAGAAAAGCAAGCUUUGAUCUACAAUCAGAAACAGCAAAAGAUUCGUCCCUGACAUAAGAACAGUCAUAUGGGACCAGUUAAAGAAAUCUACGUUACCUAUUAUUCCGCCUCAACAGCAGAGGCUUAGGUUAUGAAGAUUGUGUCAAACCUAGAGUGAGCUUUCCCCCUCAUGCCAUUCCCAGUGAUCAGAAACGUGAGGACACUGUGAGCCAACAGCUGCAGCUCAUCUGUUGAGUUUCACAGGCCCAGUUGUAUCUGUGUUCUGGGUCUGAGCACGUUAAUACUGUUUUCCUCCAUGGCAGAGUCCUGUGAUUUUAAUUACAUGCUGCACAAGGAGACAUCUCCUUCAUGGAUUUGAAUCUCUUGCACAGUAAUUUCACAGCUGCCUCUAGGAACGACAAAUACUAAUUUAUUUUUUUAUCUAUCUCCUUCUUGUUGUACUUGAUGUUAUGGACAGGUAAACAUAGCUGCAGAAGUUGGCCUUGCCCUCUUCUGCAUUGCAAGAGAUAGGACAGAGCACAGCACCAUGAGACAGAGCCGGACCCUGCUGCAGUGCAAACUUUCAGACAGGCAUGGUGGCAUUUAAAAUCCGUUUGGAACAACAGCAGAUUCAGUCUGAUGUUCCCUUCCCCUUAAGAGGCAAUUAAAAGGUAAAUGCACAGAAAGGUGCCGGCUCCAGAGACCUUGAGGGAAUCUGCAGGGGACGUAUCUGCAGUGACCUUUGUAUAAUGAUCUUACUGGACCACGAACUUCCAGGGUGUUCUCUGUCUCCCACAUGCUUUUUGCAUGAUGGGUAUGGUUCAGCGGGCAGCAUCACAGGCUGCUGGGUUUUGGUCUUGUUGUGCCAAGGAACUGGGAUAUUAGCAUCCCGCUGUUCUCAUAAGCGUGGAUGCUGCUCAUCCACUUUCACUCCAGUGUUAGCCCCAACCAAAAUCCUUUGAAACCCCUAUGAAAGCAUGGAUCGUCUUUACCCUUCCCACCUUUUUUUUUUCAGCUAUUCUUGCAGAGAGAAACCCCCCAAAACCAGUGUGACAUCUAAGGACUUGUUAUGGAGUAGUAGCCAUCCUGACCUGCUUCAGACCAGGAGGUGGUGAUGCUGAAGCCCAGUCUUUGUGGGUGCAGGAGUGCUUCAGCUAUAGAUUUCUUAGUCAUGUAAACCGGAGUCAGGAGCUGACAAUGGGAAAGGGCAGGCAGGCAAUUUUGCCUCUCAUUCAGAAAUUUCUGACUUCAGCUCAUUUCUGAAUGCAGCAAAGACUGGAAACAAACAGCUUCUCUGAGAGGGAUAAAUUUCUCCUCAUCCGAGGGUUAGGAUCUUGCCUCUGAAGAAGGCAGGGCUUCCCAGUUGCUGGCAAGUCUGAAAUUAGGAGCCAUCAGUCAGGCAAAACCCCCCUGGUAAAUCACGAAUCCUUGUGACCUAUCAAAGCUUUGCAAGGCAAUGAAUCUGCUCUGAUUUAUACCAGUGGGAAAUCUAGCCUUUAAUUUUAGUUCUUGAAUUAGCAGUUGUUUUAAUCAUGUGAAUGCAGUCUGCCAGUGCCAGGUUGUCAGGGCCACAUAUGCGAAACUCGGAAUUAUUGCUUCAGUGGAGCCCUAAAUAUAUAAUGUUUCAGUAAAGCAUUUUUAUUUGGUUUAUGGACCAUUAAGUAGAAAGUGUGCUGUAGAGUCAUGCAAGAGCCAACCUGAAGCAGGCGCAAACUUCUUCAUCACUGCCUUGUGCAAUUAAGGAACAGCUCAUAGGUUAUUUGGUAUUAAUUGACCCCCAUGGGAGCUUGAGCGCUUUAUGAAUGCUAUUAUACAAUGUGAUAGCAGGGGACUUGAAUCAAUGCCCCUGGAAGUCUCUUUAGCUCUGACAGCCACUGUUCCUAAAUAAACAUGGUUUAUAGGGUUGUUUCCAUUGUGCUCUGAGGAACCACAGCAAGAAUAAGUUCAGCCUCUCCAGCUUCUACCCAGCAACAGUUGGCAAACACCAAACACCAAUUCUGCCACAUGUGGAACUGUCUCAGUUAUGCCCUGUGGAGAUUUUCUCCAGAAAAUCUUUCAUCAUGUGCUCUCCCAUCACUUUUCUGGUAGGGAUGAGAACACUGAGCCAUUGUGAACCUCCUGUUACAGGGCAGAGGAAUCUCUAGAGAAGACACAGCACCCCUGGAAGGGUCUGAAAUGAGAUUUCAUGGAUAUUUCUUUCUAGAAGCACUGCUUUCCUGAUGCCCUUGUGCCCUCUUGCUCAAGUCAUGCAGUGUUCUGUUAGCAUUAUUCAAGCUAAGGAGCAAACAGAGUUGUCUUCCUCAGCAGGGGCUGUACCCCUUUCUGCAAAGCUUGUUUUUGCUUGAAGGAUGACCUGUAAGGUGAAAUACAAUGUGAUGCAGUAGAAGAUGCUGCUGGAUUAAGAAUACCCAGACUGGAGUAGUGCCUGGAGAACGGAGAGAAAGAUCAUGAAAGUGAUAAUUUAAAGAAGAGGGGAGCAUGAUUCAUGUUGAAUCAACUCCAGCCCAAUUCACAUAGGAUUCCUCUGCAAUAAUCUGGAGAAGAUCUGCUCAGUUGCUGCUGGCAGCAUCCAGGCUGGUUACAGCAGCAUGGGCAUGGAGAGCAGAAGAGGACAUGAGUGUCAGCACCGCUUAAGCUGUGGAAGGAUUCAGUGCAUAACUUGCAGUUUGUCUUGUUUCCUUUGCUCACCAACUCUUCAAACAGGUGGUGAUUGGCUUCUUAAUGUGGGAGCCAAGAUCCUGGCUAUGCUUGCAGCAGGGUCCAGGCAUAUUUCUAUAGCAAAUACCUUUAAGUGUACCCAAGACCUGACUGCCACAUGGAAACAUUAAUUUUGCAUCUCAGGACGUCUUUUUUUAUUUGCCAGCUCCCACACUCCGAGCAUUUUCACUUCUGGGAGGUCCUGUCUCAGCAUCCUUCACUGCCGAUUGCCCAGCGAGGAGUCACUCCUGCAUCCUUCCAGGAUCCAAAGACAGCAUUUGUGUAUAUAUACAUAUAUAUACAAUUUUAUUUAUUUGUACCGUGUGUUUCAAACCUCUUGCCUUUAAGAGAUCCCUUCCUCUCCGCAGCAAGCGGAGUGCCUGCAUCUUAUUCCUUGGCAUUUGGCGGUGGUUCUCCCCUCCUCUCCCCGUGCGGCGCCCGGCGCUUUGUUCUCCGCUCCGGGGCCGCCGGAGCGGGGCUGGGGCUGCCCCUCGGCUCACACCCGCUCCGGUGCUUUUCCUCUCCCCGAGGGGAAAAAGGGGCUGUUCUGCUCCGGGCACUUUUGUCAGCUGAAGGGGGCGGGAGCUACAGCCUUGAAGUAGAAAAGGAAGAAGGGAAAGAAGGAGCGGGGAGAGGGGGGGAGCCUGCCGGCCAGCGGGGGAGGCAGCGGGUCCAGCCUGGCUGGGGACCGCGGGCUGGAGGAGGAGGAGGCGGCAGGAGAAGAUGCGCUGGGGCAGCGGUGCUGCGUCUGAACCCCCUUCUGCCUAAAGCAAAGGAUAUCGUCCUCCGAGGGAAACGAGGAAAGUGGGCAGAAGGCGGCCAAGCUCGCACAGAGCUCUCCCGGGAACUGCCCGGGGUUUGCCUGGCGCCCCAGCAAAGUUUCCCGAGCUUGGUGAGGACAAUGAAGGAGACAGGUGAGAUCUUUCUCCUAGUGCACAGCUGGGCUUCCAGCUCCAACCCUGCUGGUACUAGCCAUGGCUUGGUCAUUCCGGACUGAAGAGUGAAGAGGAAACCCGGGCACCCACAUUCUCCAUCACCUUCCCUGGCUCCAUGUGUCAGCCUAGGGAUUUCAAGGCAGCAGAAGACCAGAGCUAACCUUCUCAACAAAGUGUACAACCCGUGAGGACUGAAGAGACCUCUGAGAUCCAUCUCAACAUGUUCAGUGAAAAGAGCAGUGCCUCUUUGUCCCAGAAACCCAUCCAGAAAAAGACACGACCUCAGGGCCUCCCAUCCCCUGCUCUCUGCUGUGCUUGUGGACUUUGCAUCAUGCUAGCAGGGAUCAACAUCACUUUAGUGGGAGCAUUUGCCUUCGGGACCUUUCUCCCCGUAAACAACCCUCCCAUCAUCAUCGGACCCAUCUUGCUGGUGGUGGCCUUCACAUUCUUUGGUGCCUGCUGCAUCUGCAGCCGGAGGCCCCCAGCUCAUGGGGCCAGGAAAUCCAAGCCAGGUUCCAACAUUGGGCUCAUCAAACCUGGCAACACAGCAUUUGAAAUUGAAACUAGUGAGCACACGGUGCAGGAUACCACCGCUGUUCAGCUGAGCCCUACAAAUUCCCCCAUCUCUUCGAAAAAGUCCACACCAGUCCAUGAGAACACAAAGACUUGCAAGCUCUUCACCAUGGAAGGCAAUGGGCCAGUGGCCAAAUACACCACUGGAGGAGAGGCGAUCCAGCUCAACUUGCCCAGGGACCUGUCCGCAUCCUAAACCCAGGCAGAGCUUUUGUUAGUAGCCAGCCAAAUGCUGCAAUGGGUGGGCUGGAUAAUCCAUGAUGUGCCAUCGUUCAGAGGCAUGGGGAAGGUGCUUGUGAAAAGCCAACAGACAGACGGGUCUCUUUGAAUCACUGUAAGCGAUUGGAUGCAACAGCAGAAAAAUUCUGGAUAUUUUGCUGAAAGGAACAUGCCCAUUAUACGGCUUUUAAAAGAAAAUUGAUAAUGAUGUUGCUGUGAAAAGGUGACUCUCAGUUCCUGGGAACAGACUGAUGUUUUUGAGGAGCAGAUAGGAAGAGGGGAAUAAAUUAGUUUGUCUAGUGUAAUAUGGAAAGGUGGUGGCUGGAAGGAGGGGCUACAUGGAGCUGAAAAAUGACAGCUCUUUCUUCUCAGAUGGGAAGCAAUUCUUGAAUGUAAAAGAAUCGGGAACUCAGUAUAUUACAGCUUGCUGUCACUCAGUCACAAAAAUAUUUCUGCAUUUUUAGUUCCAGGCUUUUUGGCGGUAGGGAUGAAGCUAUGUGUUUGCUAUUGAAAAAGCAGUGUGAAACAACCUCCUCUCUACUGAAAAUCCUUGCUCAAUCUUGCCUUCAUUUGGGUGACUUUACCACCCAUUCUAAGAGACAACGGAUCACAAGGAUUGCAACUAGCAUUGUUUUUUUCUUCUUGUUUUAAUUGGGUUGGGCUGCAGCUGUGCUGCUCAGUACGAUGUGUAUCAUGGAAGAUCAGUCAGGCUGAAUCUUUGGGGACAAGUUCUUGGGGUAACCAGAGAUGCGCAAGAGCUUGCAAAUGAAAUCAGUGGGUCAUGAUAAUGAACUGAGUGCUAGGCAGCUUCCUUUCCAUCUUUUUGUGGAAGGUUGGCCUGGGACACACAUCAGCUUGGGGCACAGGGCAAAUAACUGUAUGGGCUUCAGGACAGCUGUGCUGGAAGGUGGUGACUGUAUCUCCCUCCCUGAUGUGUCUGCGAGAUCCACCACAGAGAGCGAGCAAUCAGGAGUGGAUCUCCUUGCUAAAGGAAACUGGCUGCUCAAUCUGUUUAUGGGCCUGCAAAGCAAUAGGAUGAUUUUGCAGAAGAGAAUUUAUCAAGAGCUUCAAUGCAAAGAUACAACGUCUGCCUCAGAAAGACCCUGAUGGGAUGGAUUAAUGCUGCAAAGGCUUAAUGCUCCUCCCUGGGUGACCCAGGCUGGGGAGAUGGUACUGUGCUAAUGGGCCUUUUGUGAGAUGUUUUGUGAGAUGGGGCCAGUGUGGGCAAGGACAGCUGUGUUAGGCAGGACUAGUAUGUGGGGAGGCAGCAGCAGGAGAGUGGAUUUUAUGUAGGAACAGCUUCAUAGAUUCUCUGUUUAUGGAAAUCCUACAUUUGAAAUGGGACUCUUGGGACUUUAACUAGUAAGUCAUAUGGACACACGAAUGACCAUACCAGAUCACUUAAAAGGCCCAGCUAACCCAGCAUCCCAUUUCAGACAAGGUGUGGAGAAGAGCAUACAGACUGGGCAAAACCGAGGUGUUGCUUGCCUAAAAUGCUUUCCCACCCCCAAUGCGCUAUUACUUAGGAGCUUCCUGAGCUGGGAGUAGUACCUGUACUUAGUAGCCUUGAAUGGAUUUCUUCUUCAUGAAAUAAUCCAUUUGCACCUAAAUGUGUGUCAACAUUCAACAUUUGUGAUCCUGCAGCAGGGAGUUGCACAGUUUAAUGAGAAACAGUAAAGUUCUCUGUCCUUGGCUUAUUUUCAUCCUGCACUCUACUAAUUCCCUUUGAUGGCCCGAGUUUCCUGGAUUAGAAGGUCCAGCAAACAGUCCAUGGCCCCCACACCGCUCAGGUUUCCUGGGGCCUUUCUCAUGUUUCCUUCAGUCAUCUCUUUCCUGUGGUACUUCACAUCUCUCAUAGACAGAGGGAGGUGAUGCUUCCCGUUCAGCUCAGCAUCAGCAGUUUGCUAGGCUGAGAGCAACACAGCCUUGAGGCUUUAGUCAGCAGAGGUGGGUGUAUGGAGAGGCGAGAGGGCUGAAGGGGAAAUACUGGAAAAGAGGGAGAGGUUGUGUUAUGGCCAAGGCUCCCCUGGGCCACUAGCAGACCUCUCCAAUGGCCAGACUGUGAGGACUGUAUGGCUGGUGUGCUGGGUUAAGUGAUGGCAUAUGGGUCAUGGGGGAGCUGGAGAGAAAAGCCACGGUGCUGCACAGUCAGUGCAUGAGGUGUCCUGGUUGCCUUGUGGAGCCACUCUGCAGCUGAUGAUCCCUUCAUGAGCUUGGGUAGGAUGAGGUUGAAUUUCACUCCUUGAUGAGAGGGAAUCAAACAAUCUGUCUUCAUGUGGGUCCUCCUUUAGUACUCCAUCAGUUUGCUGCCUUGAACAGCUCCUUUCACAUCAAGGAAUUACAUUGGUAUGACUUUUAUCAGGGCUGGUCUACUGGUUAGGAGGGGCAGAAGCAGGCUCGAGAGAAGGACGGUCAUGUUGGCAUGGAAAGAUAUGGGGUCAAGUCCUUGGUAAAGCCUCCAGGUCCAGGGCAAAUCAUUAAUUGUGCUACUGCACAACUCCCUGCCUGUGUGAGAGGGGAAAUACCCGCUCCCACCUCCACCUAAAGCUGCUUUAAAGAUGAGCACAUUGCCAAGCAGCAGGGUUGGUAUUAUCACACCUGAGUCUGGAGUGCUUGAAGGCGGAUGGGUCUGUAUGGGCUGAUCUCUGCACAAUCUCCUUUAGAGCUCAUUUUUGUGGGUGAGCUCUGCCUGCAGCACCGGCUGCCCUUCGGCACCCAGAAGCUGUUGUGCUGAACAAAAGGUUCCCAUGAUUUUGCCUGCUGGUGAUUGCUGUAGCAAUUAAACAGAAGAGCUCGCUGAUGUAGGUUUGAUUCCCAGCCUGCUGGCUGACGAGCAUUUUGGAAUAGCAUUUUGGAAUAACACACGACAGGCUGGAAGUCCUUCAGAGGUAUUACCCAUGUGAAUACGGUUACUGCAGCUCUUUUCUUUGAGUACUUGGAGCCAAAAAAUUAGUAAAAUCAAGUGGUAGCAGUACAACUCCUUUCUCUACUCACUGAAAGCUUAAAAACCAAGUCUGGUGUGUGUGUACUGGCAUCACUCCUCAUUGCAGCUGCAAUGUGGAAUGCCACCAGUGAUGGAUAAUGCAAUGGCACAUCCCAUAUCAGUUGGGAUGGAAUGGGUACAGAAGCUGGACUUGGAGGGUGGGCUAGUAGUUUAGUGUGGUUCACACUUGCAUUGUGGCAUCGCAGCCAGUACAAUGCAGAGAACCCCGACACAGCCCUAGGACCUGGACAUCCUGUGCUGCACACGCAGGUCACCACAAAGCUGGUGUUGCUUUGAGAGCUGACGCCCUUGAGACCUAAGAGAUGACAACCAGCAGAGAUGACACCUGGGCAAGCAGAGGUGUAGGACCAGUGAGAUGCUGAUCCCCUGGUGUGAUGGGUCUGUAUGCCAAGCCGUGACUCCAACCACCCGCCUGCACAACGAGGUGGACACGGGAUCAUCUGCUGCCUUCCAAAGCAUGAAUGCUUUCGCCUUUUUCUGUCUUUCGGGAUUUCCGUGUCUGUCUCUCUGUCCGCCUCUGUGAUCAGCCACGACUAAUGUUGUUGUGAAUCUUGUGCCUCCUUGUGUAGCAGGAGGCAGGGAGAGUUUCUUGUGUUCUAAGUCAGAGUUUCUGGUGCGAGUCUUUUUUUUACGAAUGACUGUUUAUGUGUGUGCAAUGUGGAAUUUAGAAAAGACAGACCCAUUAAAAUAAUUGCCCUUGCUAA